AGAACCCUUGACAUGAAGGUUCCAAUCUUUUAAAAGCAGAAACCCAGAGGUAAACUGGGCAUUUAGUGUCUGGCUACCAUAGUAAAAGGAUGCAGGCUGUGAAGAGUCUACUGGCAGCUUUUGGGCUCCUAGUGUGGGGAGGGCAGUUUGCUAAUGAAAAGAGUGUCCCAGUCUCUGUAGAGCUCCGCUUGGUGCCCACUGAGGCUGAACUGCUGAUCAGACAGGAGGAGGAGCUGUGGGGGCUGGAGAAGGACAAACAGAAGACUGGGCAGCUCACAGUGGAAGAAACACUGAUUCAGGUCAACAACAGGAAGGGAGAGGAACCCAAUGGACCAAAACUGGCCUUUGACCCCAAAGCUGCCGCCAGUGCAGCCCAGGGGAAGAGCUCUGAGAGCUGGGCCCAGAUGAUCAGGACCCUGGACCCCUUGUCCACAGAGACAGUGAUGGCAGGCUGCCGUCUGUGUGUGGAGCACAGUGGGCUCCUUCACCUCCUGUGCUGUGUCCUGGUCUGGAUCAAGAGGCGUCUCACACAGAAACGGAAUCGACCCUGCUCAGGCUGUCAGCAGAAAGAAGAGAGGGAGAGACAGAGAGCUACUGGAUACUAGAGCCCCACCCCUCACACCCAGCUCACACAGCACACCAAGAAGAUGAGCAGCAGGGGGAAGUCACCUUCAUAGACUGACACUGUCCAGGAGAGAACACCAGGGGCAGUGCCUGAAGUCUGUCCUUACUGAAGAACAUCAGUGCUCUGCAAUUAUUUCAUACUAACUAUUAAACAACUAUUGUUUCUUUUAGUGACAUCUGAAUUUAUUACAUCUUUUGUGUUCUUUUUAUGUGAGAUCUAGUUAUCCACAGCUACUGUAUAAGAGACUUCACAUUUCUGUAGCUGUAUAAUGCAGUAUGGGCUGUAUCAAUUUAAGACACUGCAACUCCAUCCUUCACGUAAGUCACCCUUCCAUCAUGAAUGUUUAAAUUGUUCAAAUGUAAUUGGUGGAGUACUAAUUAGAAUGAAUGUAUUAGAAACAGUUUUCAUCCCAAUUCAUAUCAAUGAUCUAGAUUCUGCUAUAGUUAGCAGAAUCUAGAUUCUUCUAUAGUUAGUAAACUGAUAACAUUUGAUUCAAACAUAGAACUACUGUAGCAAACUGUAGGAGCAACAAAUGAAAGUUAAAAUAAUGAAGAUGCAAUUCAAAAUUGGGAAAACACUGGGCAGAU
rnacentral:lncRNA from 1 species